AGUGAGCGCUGGCGGUAGGCCUAACACAUGCAAGUCGAACGGCAGCACAGUAAGAGCUUGCUCUUACGGGUGGCGCGUGGCGGACGGGUGAGGAAUACAUCGGAAUCUACUUUUUCGUGGGGGAUAACGUAGGGAAACUUACGCUAAUACCGCAUACGACCUACGGGUGAAAGCAGGGGAUCUUCGGACCUUGCGCGAUUGAAUGAGCCGAUGUCGGAUUAGCUAGUUGGCGGGGUAAAGGCCCACCAAGGCGACGAUCCGUAGCUGGUCUGAGAGGAUGAUCAGCCACACUGGAACUGAGACACGGUCCAGACUCCUACGGGAGGCAGCAGUGGGGAAUAUUGGACAAUGGGCGCAAGCCUGAUCCAGCCAUACCGCGUGGGUGAAGAAGGCCUUCGGGUUGUAAAGCCCUUUUGUUGGGAAAGAAAAGCAGCAGGUUAAUACCCCGCUGUUCUGACGGUACCCAAAGAAUAAGCACCGGCUAACUUCGUG
rnacentral:rRNA from 1 species